GACUCCAUGGCGCAAUGGUAGCGCGUUCGACUCCAGAUUGGUGUUUAUCGAAAGGUUGCGUGUUCAAGUCACGUUGGGGUCA
rnacentral:tRNA from 1 species